rnacentral:rRNA from 1 species
UUAUAAGAGACAGCAGUAGCCACGGUAAUACGGAGGGUGCAAGCGUUAAUCGGAAUUACUGGGCGUAAAGCGCACGCAGGCGGUCUGUCAAGUCAGAUGUGAAAUCCCCGGGCUUAACCUGGGAACUGCAUUUGAAACUGGCAGGCUAGAGUCUUGUAGAGGGGGGUAGAAUUCCAGGUGUAGCGGUGAAAUGCGUAGAGAUCUGGAGGAAUACCGGUGGCGAAGGCGGCCCCCUGGACAAAGACUGACGCUCAGGUGCGAAAGCGUGGGGAGCAAACAGGAUUAGAUACCCGCGUAGUCCCUGUCUCUUAUAA